rnacentral:tRNA from 1 species
UCCCUAGCAGUCCAGCGGUUAGGACUCUGCUCUUCCAUUGCAGGGGGCACAGGUUCAAGCCCUGGUCAGAGAA